GGAGGAGUCGCAUAGUUGGUCCAUUGCGAGAGUUCGCUAAACUCUUGAGCCGCAAGGCUCGCGUGGGUUCAAAUCCCACCUCCUCCG
rnacentral:tRNA from 1 species